CCACCCCGCCCUGCCCCUCCGCCGUGACUCAGCAGGAAGGCGCGACUCGACCGGGCCGGAAAGGCCGAGCCAAGUCACCCCCUCCAGGUCCACGCCACUGAGCGUGUGGGACUUGGAGGAGGAUUUGGGGGCGGAGGUCUUAGCUGUGGCAUGUGGGAUCUUCCGUUGCUGUACGCGGGCUUCUCUCGAGUUGUGGCACCGCAUGGGUUCCAGAGCCCACGGGCAUGAGGGCUUAGUUCCCCCGAGGAGGAGAUGAGCACACGUCCUUCUACUCCACCAUCCUGAACCAGAAGCCCCGACUGCCUGAAUUCUUCAGCAUUGUCAUUCCUUUCCCUCUUUCAGCCCUCAUCCCUCCAAUGACACAGGGAGCUCCCUGACAAAUGGAGACAAAACCAAUACUGCCAAGAGCUGAUGGAGUUUGGAGCUUAAGUGUCUGCCUCGCUCUUUGGCUGGCAGCCAGGACUUGGGUUUGGAGCCUGUGGGAAGCAGAAUAAUGCCUUCCCCCCAAAGAUGUCCAUGUCCUAAUCCCUGGAGCUGGUGAAAAUGUGACUUUACAUGGUUAAAAAGAUUGUGCAGAUGUGGUUAAAUUAAGGACCUUGAGAUGGGGAGAUUAUCUUGGAUUAUCUAGGUGGGCCUGAUAUAAUCAUAAAAGACUUUUAAGGAUGGAAGAGGGAGGCAGGAGAGUCAGGAAAAGAGAUGAUGGAAGCUGGGGUGGGAGUGAUGCAAUUGCUGACCGGAAGGAGGUCUUGAGCAGGCAUGGAAUGCAGGCAGCCUCUAGAAGCUGGUGAAGGUGAGGAAAUCAAUUCUCCUCCAGAUCCUCUAGAAAGAAUACCGCCCUGCCAACACUCUUGAAUUUAGACCAGGGAAACCCAUUUCUGACCUGUGACCUCAGGAACUGUAAGAUGAUAAAUUUAUGUUGUUUAAAGUCAUUAAAUUUGUGAUAAUUUACAGCAAUGAGAGAAAACUCAUACAGAGCCUGCAGGCUAAUGUGGAAGGCGGGGUUUUUUUGGUCAGACAGUUGCUAUUGGCAAGUCAUGCACCCUGGAGCUGACAGAGGCUCUGGCAGCAUCCCCCACUUCUCUGUGGCCCUGGGGCUCCAGGUGAGGCACCCCAAGAGCAGCCCUUGGGGAAGCCCCAGUGCUGCUUCCUUUUC